CCCUUAGAUGUUCUGGGCCGCACGCGCGCUACACUGAUACAUGCAACGAGUUUAUAACCUUGAUCUGACGGUCUGGGUAAUCUUCAAACUGUAUCGUGUUAGGGAUCGAUUCUUGCAAUUUUUAAUCGUAAACGAGGAAUUCCUAGUAAACGCAAGUCAUCAGCUUGCAUUGAUUACGUCCCUGCCCUUUGUACACACCGCCCGUCGCACCUACCGAUUGGAUGGUCCGGUGAAGCCUCGGGAUUGUGGUUCUUGCCGCUUUAUUGUGGCGUGACCGCGAGAACUUGUCUAAACCUUAUCAUCUAGAGGAAGGUGAAGUCGUAACA
rnacentral:rRNA from 1 species